CAUCUCUGAGCUCAAAUUCCUGCCUCCCAGGGGGGAGCAAGUUGUGAAGAUGAGAUGGCAAGAUGGCAAACAGUGACACAGCUUGACAGAGAGGAUGGACCCUGGCUCUGACACUGGGAUCAUGCCCUCCGUGCCAGGUGCUGGACACAGAGGGCAGGACACAUGGAGAGGCAGUGUUCACAAAGAAUUAGGAAACAAGCCAGACUGUGACGAAAGCUUGCCUUUGAAUGCCCCAGGAUUUCUAGGUGGACCGACACAGAGGUGUUGCAGAGGUGGCAUUUGAGCUGAGCUGGGAUACAGGGGACACGGGUUCGAGCCCUGGUCCAGGAAGAUCCCACAUGCCGCAGAGCAACUGAGCUCGUGUGCCACAACUACUGAUCCUGCACUCUAGAGCCCUCGAGCCACAACUACUGAGCCCUCAAGCCACAACUACUGAACCUGCACAGCACAACUACUGAAGCCUGUGCACCUAAAGCCCGUGCUCCGCAACAAGAGAAGCCACAGCAAUGAGAAGCCCGCGCAACACAACGAAGAGUAGCCCCCACUCGCCUCAACUAGAGAAAGCCCGUGCACAGCAACGAAGACCCAAC